GGACCUGUAGCUCGAUGGUUAGAGCCCGCUCAAUGGGUCGCAGGUUAGAGUCCUGCCGGGCUCACCA
rnacentral:tRNA from 1 species